rnacentral:piRNA from 1 species
UGCACCACCACACCUGGAAUGCCAUCCUGC